GCAAUAGCCGGUCGCAUGACAGCCACGGGAGGCCGAUGGGUAAAGUGAUCGGUUUUUAUCAGAUUACGUCGUGGAAGAGAAAUUGUUCAAGCCAUGUUUCCGAAGUAACAAAGAGCCGACGGAUGGUCUGGAUUGCAGCCAUUCGAAGACCAAUAUAACAUCCCAGAACACUCCAGCUCACAUGUUAGUCUGCUCCAAGCAUUUCCACAAAGGAAAACCAGCCUACAAAAUGCUGGAAUCCGAUCCAGACUGGGCAUCCUCUAUCAACCUGGGUCAUACUGAGUUUAAAGCUGCUACCACAGCGAGAUUUGA